CCCAUGCCCGGCCAGGAAUUUUUUUUUUAAGAAGGCUGUCUACUAAUGGAAUUCCUGGCCUUAAGAGGAUAUUACUUUCAAAGGAAAGGAUUUAUUUCGUUAUUUAAAGAGUCACCUAAGCUGAAGAUUCCCUUGAGAACAAGUACUGUACUGUGGUUUCAUGGCCUUUCUUCCAUUUGUGGUUCUUGCCAAGUGGAAUUUAAAUGACAUCUUAUCAAGAUGGAUAAACCCUAGUUUCCCAGUGCUGGAAUAUAUAAAAUGGAUAGACAAAAUGUCUUUUUGUCACUUCCGGCUCGAUCUACCAUGAAAGAUUUCUGAAUCCAGGAAGAGAGACUGACUGGGCAACAUGUUAUUCAGGAACAGGACCUUGCCCUGUCACUCAGGAUGGAGUUCAGUUG
rnacentral:lncRNA from 1 species